GUUGAGUUUAGGAAGUUUCAGACCAACUUUAACCUUUUAGCAACAUUUAGAGAAGUUUGCUGAGGUUCUGCAGGAACCGGGUCCGGUGGUUCUGGAACUCUGCAGGUCUCUGCGUGUCGGAUGAACUUCACAUUCAUCCUGAGGUGAGGCUCCGCCCCCUCAGCAUCAGACUGAAGCUGCUUCCAUGUAUGGACUAGACCAAACCUGCAGCAGGGAGGAACUUCAGCUCCCUCAGGCUGAUGAAACGGAUCCUGAGGUUCUGCUGAGGAUGUAGCCGUCACGCCGCCGAGCUUCAGCCGCCGAUGAACAUCUCUG